rnacentral:rRNA from 1 species
AUUGAACGCUGGCGGCAGGCCUAACACAUGCAAGUCGAACGGUAACAGGAAGCAGCUUGCUGCUUCGCUGACGAGUGGCGGACGGGUGAGUAAUGUCUGGGAAGCUGCCUGAUGGAGUGGGAUAACUACUGGAAACGGUAGCUAAUACCGCAUAAUGUCGCAAGACCAAAGAGGGGGACCUUCGGGCCUCUUGCCAUCGGAUGUGCCCAGAUGGGAUUAGCUUGUUGGGGGGGUAACGGCUCACCAAGGCGACGAUCCCUAGCUGGUCUGAGAGGAUGACCCGCCACGCAGGAACUGAGACACGGUCCAUACUCCGACGGGAGGCAGCAGUGGGGAAUAUUGAACAGUGGGCGCAAGGAUGAAGCAGCCAUGCCGCGUGUAUGAAGAAGGCCUUCGGGUUGUAAAGUACUUUCAGCGGGGAGGAAGGGAGUAAAGUUAAUACCUUUGCCCAUUGACGUUACAAGCAGAAGCAGCACCGGACAACUCC